rnacentral:rRNA from 1 species
AUUGAACGCUGGCGGCAGGCCUAACACAUGCAAGUCGAACGAGUGGCGGACGGGUGAGUAAUGUCUGGGAAACUGCCUGAUGGAGGGGGAUCACUACUGGAAACGGUAGCUAAUACCGCAUACCAUCGGAUGUGCCCUGAUGGGAUUAGCUAGUAGGUGGGGUAAAGGCUCACCUAGGCGACGAUCCCUAGCUGGUCUGAGAGGAUGACGAGCCACACUGGAACGGGGACACGGUCCAGACUCCUACGGUAGGCAGCAGUGGGGAAUAUUGCACAAUGGGCGCAAGCCUGAGGCAGCCAUGCCGCGUGUAUGAAGAAGGCAUUCGGGUUGUAAAGUACUUUCAGCGGGGAGGCGUUACCCGCAGAAGGGGCACCGGCUAACUCCGGGCGAGCAGCCGCGGUAAUAC